UGUGGCAUCCGGCUCAGUUACACGUAGUCAACAUGCCCAGGUGACGUGGAUAACCUCGGGAAACUGAGGAUAAACCGCGAUAGGUCAUUACUUCUGGAAUGGGUAAUGACUUAAAUCUAUAUGGCCCCAUGGAUUGGACUGCGGCCGAUCAGGCUGUUGGUGAGGUAAUGGCCCACCAAACCUGUAACCGGUACGGGCUCUGAGAGGAGGAGCCCGGAGAUGGGCACUGAGACAAGGGCCCAGGCCCUAUGGGGCGCAGCAGGCGCGAAACCUCUGCAAUAGGCGAAAGCUUGACAGGGUUACUCUGAGUGAUUUCCGUUAAGGAGAUCUUUUGGCACCUCUAAAAAUGGUGCAGAAUAAGGGGUGGGCAAGUCUGGUGUCAGCCGCCGCGGUAAUACCAGCACCCCGAGUGGUCGGGACGUUUAUUGGGCCUAAAGCAUCCGUAGCCGGUUCUACAAGUCUUCCGUUAAAUCCACCUGCUUAACAGAUGGGCUGCGGAAGAUACUAUAGAGCUAGGAGGCGGGAGAGGCAAGCGGUACUCGAUGGGUAGGGGUAAAAUCCGUUGAUCCAUUGAAGACCACCAGUGGCGAAGGCGGCUUGCCAGAACGCGCUCGACGGUGAGGGAUGAAAGCUGGGGGAGCAAACCGGAUUAGAUACCCGGGUAGUCCCAGCUGUAAACGAUGCAGACUCGGUGAUGAGUUGGCUUAUUGCUAACUCAGUGCCGCAGGGAAGCCGUUAAGCUUGCCGCCUGGGGAGUACGGUCGCGAGACUGAAC
rnacentral:rRNA from 1 species